GAUGAAGAACGUAGCGAAAUGCGAUAAGUAGUGUGAAUUGCAGAAUUCAGUGAAUCAUCGAAUCUUUGAACGCACAUUGCGCCCCUUGGUAUUCCAUGGGGCAUGCCUGUUCGAGCGUCAUUUGUACCUUCAAGCUCUGCUUGGUGUUGGGUGUUUGUCUCGCCUCUGCGUGUAGACUCGCCUCAAAACAAUUGGCAGCCGGCGUAUUGAUUUCGGAGCGCAGUACAUCUCGCGCUUUGCACUCAUAACGACGACGUCCAAAAGUACAUUUUUACAAUCUUGACCUCGGAUCAGGUAGGGAUACCCGCUGAACUUAAGCAUAUCAAUAAGCGGAGGA
rnacentral:misc_RNA from 1 species